UUAAACUAAAAAAAAAAAAAAAUCACUUAAGGAUGCACCCACUAAUUCUAAAACCCUUAAGGCACAUCUCUCAAAGUGAGAGGUGCACACAAGAUGUAUGAUGUAAAAAGCCAUUCCUCAAAACUCUCACUCUGUCCCACAAUUAAAGUGUCAAAAGAACUUAUCAGAUCUUGGACUCAGCUAUUCAUCAUUAAUUUAUAAUCUCUUAGAACCAUUUCAUUUGACUUUACAGUGUAGUUUUCUUUACUUCAUUUUUAAUUACUAUUUAAAGAUGAAAGCAAGAAAGCUAAUAAGAGAAUCACUUAAAAGAUAAGCAUUGCAUCAAGCUUCAAGAGUGCAAUAAAUGAAACUUGGAAAAUCCAUGUAAACAAGAAAUGAAUUCAACAUAAAGAGAAAAGAAGCAAUAGAAUAAAAGCAUUACCAGCAACAUCUUGACCAUCAUAAU
rnacentral:misc_RNA from 1 species